GGCCUGACGUGGCGGGCGCUUCGUGGCGGUCGGUCACUCGGCAGCGGCGGUCCCGCGAAUCCCGCCCGCCCGGGAGCCCUGAGGAGACGGGCGGCACCCUCGUCGUCCCCUCGGCCCAGCCCGGGAGACCGACUCGCCGCGGGCCCUUCAGGGGUUCCCGCGGAGCUCGCGGGGAGCUCGGAGGAACUGCGCAGCCCAGAGCGGCGGGCGGGCGAGCGCGGCCUGGGACUGCGGCGCCGUGAUGUGCGCUUCUCCGAGCCCGCAGUUGGCCUCGGUGCGAUGGACUGGAGUGGCCCCUAGCUCCGCGGUGCGGUUAGCUAAGGCAGCGUUUUUCGGGGUGCAUCAGAACCUCCCAGAAAUAAAACCAAGGGGUCGCCUGGAAUGUUAAUAAAAACGCAUAAAUGGGACAGGUCGGUCUGAAAGAGAUGCGGUGCGUUUGUCUUUUCGGAUGGUGGAGGACAGAGAAAUCCUCAAAUUUAGCAUCCAGCAACCUGCGCUGCUCCGACCGGCCCCAUGACCAGGCCUGCCAAGGGGGUGUAGUCGUUCCCAUCUGCCAGCCAGCCUCGGAGCGGAGCGCACUUUGCACUGAGGCUCUCCUCUUCCUCCCAACAAUGGAGAUAAGGAUGUUUCUCUUUUAUUUUAUUCUUGAAGCCACAUCACCUCGUCCUUGGGGGCUCUUCCUUAGGUAAAAGACAGCAACAAAUCCGGCAUUGAGUUAUGGGCCCAUGGCAAAGCUUAAUUAUAAUCACUGUAAGAGAAAAGUCAACUCUUUAUUUUUUUCUAAAUAUAAACAUGUACAGAGAGGGUAAAUAUGAUUUUUUUUAAAAAAGGAGUAAAUGCUAAAAGUUACUAAUUGCUUGACUGUUAACUGGGUGGGAAAGAUUAAUUUUCCCAGAAAUGUAGGUUUGUCAAAAGAAUACUUUGUUUCUUCAGAACAAAUUCCCUCCUAGAAGAAAGUAACAAUUUUCAGCAAACAAAAAGAUUCCAUCCCAAAUUAAAAUUUGGAAGAAUUUCAUCUCAUUUUUUAUAAUAAUCCUGACGAUAACUUUAAAAAAUAAAAAACAAACUUAAACCAGUCUCUGGCGAUGCUGCAAAUAACAAAAGAUGAAGUUCAAAACACUUCAGAGUCUUGACAGCUUUGAGCUACAAUCCCCAUGCGUUGUAUGUGUUGUUCCCGGUUUCUCUAGACAAAGCCCUGUGAAUGUGGUCCCCUUUCCUUUAGCGUUGACAUCUUGAUACAAGCUCUACUGGACGUUGAAUGCUUGAUCAAUUAAUUUACUCUUCAUGAGUGUUGGCACUGACACAGAUUAUUUUAAUGGUUGAAGAAAAUUGAAGUCUUGAAGAAAUUGAGCAGUUCAUUUAAGUUCUCUUAUUUAUUUUGAGUACAGUGCAGGUUCUUAGCUUCUUGGUAUAUUUUACUGCUACAGUCCAGGUGAGACGUUAUAGACCACCACACAUAUAUAAGGCCAAAUUACAGUCCUUUAUUAAGCCAGCAACCAAGAGCAGGCUCUUGCCCCCAAAGACUCUCUCUGCUCAGGGUAUAGCAUUUCUAAAGAGAAACCACAAGGGCAUCGCAUAGUCGGGGUCGGGGGAGCUUGUUUGCAUUUGUUUUGACUCUACAACCAGCAAAUAUUUUGGUUAUGUAUCUGAGACAUGGAAAGUCCCAAAUGUGCUGCCAAGGCGGAUGUGAAUGUUGUUGGGGUGGGGGGAGGGUGAAGGAGCUGGGAAAGUGCUCAAGCAGACACAAAAUGGAGCCUGAGUAAGAUCAGGACAAAAUGGUGUUACUUUAGUCUUUUCACUCCUUGUUACUUUUAGUGUUUCUUUUAGUUACUUUUCAAAUGCUUGAUGUCUCUGUUUGGAUUCCUUAGUUUCCAAUGUGUGCCCACUGGCUUCUAGCUUUGUAACCAGAGCGGAGCCGGAGAGCUGGUCCCUGAAGUCUCUGGAAGGCAAGGCUGGUCUGCGUGGACCUUUACCAUCCCGGCCUCUUCCUUCUCAGGAAGUCUUCUUUACCUGGAUUUGGUGGAUCCAGGGGGUGACACCUCUUACUUAGUAUUUAGAUGACUGUCCAUAGUCUAUCCAUAGCCGUCUAGCCCAGUGGCAGAGUCUCUGUCUUACAUUAUCUGAACUCUUGAGAGCCAGGUGUGAUGGCAUAUGCCUUUAAUCCCGGUACCCGGAAGUUGGAGCCAACCUGGUCUACAAAGUCCACAGAUCGAGUUCCAGGACUGCCAGGGCGACACAGAGAAACCCUGUCUCAAUAAAAACAAGGAGAGAGCGUUCUCUUUUUACAGAAUUAGCUAACUACCACUCAGCCAUGGAAUUAGCUUUUCCUCCUAAGAGGGGGAGAAUGGGUAGCUAUCAGGAUGGCAGGUCCCAUACCAGUGGGGAUGGCAGGUCCCAUAAGUAUGAGGUUGACCCUGUUCGCACAACUCAGAUGUUUGACAAACUCCCCUUAGUUUGAGAAGUUGCUAUUUGUCUCUGUGUUGUCUGAGACCUUAUCAUACAUGGCCUGCCCUAAGGGCUCAGGGAGCACUUUAGGAGGAGGGCCGGGUAUUAACUAGGUUCUGACUCUUUGGAAAACCAUAAAUGGGAACUGAGCAAUGGGGUAAGAAGGGUUGAGAUCAGACUCUGAGUGUCAGAGAGUCUGGGAGAAGUAGAGAAGAAGGCUGGGAAAGAGGGGCCAAGUGAAGAAUGAGUGUCAUAGAGCUUGGGGUGACAGGAGAGAAGCAGAAGGGGAGUCUCUAGACAAAAUGAAACACAGGUGGAAUCAGAGGGUGGAGGCUCCUGGAUCAGAGGGUGGAGGCUCCUGGAACCACGAGUAUAAUCCCAGAAAGGAAUCAGCACAACUCACAGAACAGCUAACAAGGGCAAUGGGUUUCUCCCUUAAAGGUGAGGUGCACACGCCAAGUUGGCUUCUAAUCACUAAUUCAAAGAACCUAGAGAAUAGACUAGCUCUCUCUGGUUCAGCCCUGAGACAGAACCAAAGGAGACAGAGACAUUAAUAACAAAAAUGCCACUCCUGGGCAGAAUCUGUCCAGUCACUCACACAACAAUUCGGCCAGCCAGCCAUUAGAAACCCAGGUCUCCCAAACACUCACUGAAUCCCAGGUCCUCUAUUGGUGUCCCAAUAUAGUGUAAGAGGACAAGGGAAUGCCCAAACCUAAGAGCUCCUUAGGAGGAGGCCUGGCCCUCUUAGACCCUAAGGCUCCCCAGGAGCCCUGGCCUUCAGAACUGAGUUCCUAGAACCAGAUGGACUCAGUCGGUCCCGGUGUCUGGGAACACAGCAGCUAUCCCAGACCUUUCUGUGCUCAGCAGCAGGCACACGACCCCGGAAUGACUUCAAGAGGUACAGGUAUGGACUGAGUUCCGUGUGCAUACGGUAAUAUCACUGGGAUAUGUAUGUUACAGUCCAGAUGAGAAAGUUAAACAGUGUCCAAGAAUAGGCUCUUGCCCCAAAGAAACUCUUGGCACCAAAGCUUAAAGCUCAAGCUACAACAUCUCUAAGGAUAAAAGCACAAUAGCAUCGUUAUCAGGUAUAGGUCAGGGGAACCUAGUCACAUUUGUUUUGACUAUACAACUGUUAUUGGUUUUUUAUAUUCUUGGGCCAGGGAGUGGUACCAUUUGGAGGUGUGGCCUUGUUGAAAUAGGUAUGACCUGGUUGGAGUAGGUGUGUCACUGUGGGUGUGUGCUUAAGAUCCUCACCCUAGUUGCCUGGAAGUCAGUCUUCCACUAGCAGCCUUUGGAUAAAGACAUAGAUCUCUCAGCUCUGCCUGCGCCAUGCCUGCCUGGAUACUGCCAUGCUCCCACCUUGAUGGUAAUGGACUGAACCUCUGAACCUGUAAGCCAGCCCCAAUUAAAUGUUUUU
ensembl:processed_transcript